rnacentral:rRNA from 1 species
AGAGUUUGAUCCUGGCUCAGGACGAACGCUGGCGGCGCGCUUAACACAUGCAAGUCGAACGGGUCUGCUCCUUCGGGGGCAGGUCAGUGGCGGACGGGUGCGUAACACGUAAGCGACCUGCCUUGAGGUGGGGGAUAACCCCGGGAAACCGGGGCUAAUACCGCAUGUGCUCCUUGGGCCGCAUGGCUUGGGGAGGAAAGGUCCUGCAAGGGACUGCCUGAAGAGGGGCUUGCGGCGUAUCAGCUAGUUGGCGAGGUAACGGCUCACCAAGGCGACGACGCGUAGGGGGUCUGAGAGGACGGCCCCCCACAUUGGGACUGAGAUACGGCCCAGACUCCUACGGGAGGCAGCAGUGGGGAAUCUUGCGCAAUGGUCUAACGACUGACGCAGCGACGCCGCGUGCGGGAGGAAGGUCUUCGGAUCGUAAACCGCUGUCAGGAGGGAAGAAGUCUCCGGGGAGGCAAUGCCCCGGAGUUGACGGUACCUCCAGAGGAAGCACCGGCUAACUCCGUGCCAGCAGCCGCGGUAAUACGGAGGGUGCAAGCGUUGUUCGGAAUCAUUGGGCGUAAAGCGCGCGCAGGCGGCUUCGUAAGUCUUGAGGUGAAAUGCCGGGGCUCAACCCCGUGCCCGCCUCGGAUACUGCGGAGCUGGAGACACGUAGAGGCUGGCGGAAUUCCGGGUGUAGCGGUGGAAUGCGUAGAGAUCCGGAAGAACACCGGAGGCGAAGGCGGCCAGCUGGGCGUGGUCUGCGCUGAGGCGCGAAAGCGUGGGGAGCGAACAGGAUUAGAUACCCUAGUAGUCC